rnacentral:lncRNA from 1 species
AGGCCUCAGGCCUGGUUGGCACGGAUUUGGCAAACUACGGCUGGUGACUUAUAUCCCACCCAAGGUGAUGGGCAAAACUAACUAACUAGUUAACCAACCAACCGCAGAGCCAGAGCACAGUGGGGGAGGACAGUGUCCUCACGCAACAAAAUUUGUCAUGAAUAUUACUUUCAGCAAAUAACCAGUUGGUGACGCUGUAAACAUAGAUACAAUGAUGUGUUUGUCCUCAGAAUCUCUGCAUUCUCAGUCCGCUGCUCUGGUGACGGUUACCGUGGUAGCAGGCUGAGCAGGGGGGCCCAGACCUCCCUUUCCCCCAGCAACAGUCCCAACUCCUCAUGGUGAUACAGUGAUAAUGAACUUCGCAGGAGCUGGAAUGUAUUCUAGCAGCAGUGGACAAUUCAAGACACCGAGAAAGAAUAAAUCGUUGACUAUGGGACCACACUCUUCAGGCACCGCCUUCCCAGGUACUUAUAUUAAAUGGUAGAGGUAGAAAAAAGGGAUUCAGGGUUUCAGGCCAAAAGGACAGCUGUGCUGUCAUUGUAUGUCACUUUAUGUACCUCUCAUGUUCACCGUCUCUCCAAGAACUGAGGACACUUCCCCCAAGGCGCAGGUGAAGAAUGAGGGCUGCUAAAGAGUUAUACUGCAUGCCAGCAUUACCUACCCAUGUCCCUCGUUAGACAUAAACGUUGAAUUAUGAACGCUGAAAUGUUAAAAAUGUUUUUGUUUGAACACUACAAUAUGCUGCCCACUCACAGCAAAUGUCAGAUUCCAUUUAUCUUUGAUGGUACUAUUGACUUGUAACCAUUGCUUCUUCUUGCAAGACCACCAUUACUGCUGCUAAAAAGAUAGACCAUAGUGUUUCAGAUGAACUGUCUCCAGGUUUUGAUUUCUGUCACUGAUUAGCCUGUCCUGCGCAACGCAGACUAGGGGUGAACACAAGACCUUUACGUUGCCCUGUGCUGGAGUGGACAUUGUAGGGCCAGCAUCCCUGAAUGACAGCGUGAGAUUGGUGGGUGUAUGCAGCCCAGUAACUAUGGAUGGCCAGGGCACCAGAUCUGUCUCAUUGGCUCAGAGGCUUGACUCCUCCAUGACUUCCAUGACCAUGGUUCGAGGGCCAGUCAGAAUGAGGUUGCUGACUUUCCUGUAGUCCAGAGUUAGGACGUUCAUCCCAUUGAUGGAAAGGACAAAUUGACAAACCUACAAGAAAGAUUUUCCCGUCAGAAUAUUUUUUAUACUACCC